rnacentral:rRNA from 1 species
GACGAACGCUGGCGGCGUGCUUAACACAUGCAAGUCGAACGGUAAGGCCCUUCGGGGUACACGAGUGGCGAACGGGUGAGUAACACGUGGGUGAUCUGCCCUGCACUUCGGGAUAAGCCUGGGAAACUGGGUCUAAUACCAGAUAGGACCACUGCCUACAUGGGUGGUGGUGGAAAGCUUUUGCGGUGUGGGAUGGGCCCGCGGCCUAUCAGCUUGUUGGUGGGGUGAUGGCCUACCAAGGCGACGACGGGUAGCCGGCCUGAGAGGGUGACCGGCCACACUGGGACUGGGAUACGGCUCAGACUCCUACGGGAGGCAGCAGUGGGGAAUAUUGCACAAUGGGCGCAAGCCUGAUGCAGCGACGCCGCGUGAGGGAUGACGGCCUUCGGGUUGUAAACCUCUUUCAGCACCGACGAAGCGCAAGUGACGGUAGGUGCAGAAGAAGGACCGGCCAACUACGUGCCAGCAGCCGCCGUAA